UGACGGUACCUAAUCAGAAAGCCACGGCUAACUACGUGCCAGCAGCCGCGGUAAUACGUAGGUGGCAAGCGUUAUCCGGAAUUAUUGGGCGUAAAGCGCGCGUAGGCGGUUUUUUAAGUCUGAUGUGAAAGCCCACGGCUCAACCGUGGAGGGUCAUUGGAAACUGGAAAACUUGAGUGCAGAAGAGGAAAGUGGAAUUCCAUGUGUAGCGGUGAAAUGCGCAGAGAUAUGGAGGAACACCAGUGGCGAAGGCGACUUUCUGGUCUGUAACUGACGCUGAUGUGCGAAAGCGUGGGGAUCAAACAGGAUUAGAUACCCUGGUAGUCCACGCCGUAAACGA
rnacentral:rRNA from 1 species